rnacentral:rRNA from 2 species
GCUGUCGUCAGCUCGUGUUGUGAAAUGUUGGGUUAAGUCCCGCAACGAGCGCAACCCUUAUCCUUUGUUGCCAGCGGUCCGGCCGGGAACUCAAAGGAGACUGCCAGUGAUAAACUGGAGGAAGGUGGGGAUGACGUCAAGUCAUCAUGGCCCUUACGACCAGGGCUACACACGUGCUACAAUGGCGCAUACAAAGAGAAGCGACCUCGCGAGAGCAAGCGGACCUCAUAAAGUGCGUCGUAGUCCGGAUUGGAGUCUGCAACUCGACUCCAUGAAGUCGGAAUCGCUAGUAAUCGUGGAUCAGAAUGCCACGGUGAAUACGUUCCCGGGCCUUGUACACACCGCCCGUCACACCAUGGGAGUGGGUUGCAAAAGAAGUAGGUAGCUUAACCUUCGGGAGGGCGCUUACCACUUUGUGAUUCAUGACUGGGGUGAAGUCGUAACAAGGUAACCGUAGGG